rnacentral:rRNA from 1 species
GACGAACGCUGGCGGCGUGCUUAACACAUGCAAGUCGAACGGAAAGGCCCUGCUUUUGUGGGGUGCUCGAGUGGCGAACGGGUGAGUAACACGUGAGUAACCUGCCCUUGACUUUGGGAUAACUUCAGGAAACUGGGGCUAAUACCGGAUAGGAGCUCCUGCUGCAUGGUGGGGGUUGGAAAGUUUCGGCGGUUGGGGAUGGACUCGCGGCUUAUCAGCUUGUUGGUGGGGUAGUGGCUUACCAAGGCUUUGACGGGUAGCCGGCCUGAGAGGGUGACCGGCCACAGUGGGACUGAGAUACGGCCCAGACUCCUACGGGAGGCAGCAGUGGGGAAUAUUGCACAAUGGGCGGAAGCCUGAUGCAGCAACGCCGCGUGCGGGAUGACGGCCUUCGGGUUGUAAACCGCUUUCGCCUGUGACGAAGCGUGAGGGACGGUAAUGGGUAAAGAAGCACCGGCUAACUACGU